AUUACAUCUUUGGUCCUUUAACUCUAACCUAGUUAAAAAUUUUAGUUAAAUCUAGUCAUAUGCUUUGCCCAUAAGAGCAAAUUCGUCUUUUUACUGUUCUAAUGACUAUUUGUGCAAUAAAUAUCCAUGCCCCCCCUCUCUCUCAAAUCUCUCUCUCUCUCUGUGAAAUGUCUGCAACAACAGAACCAUCCAAAUCUGUCACACAUCACCGCCUACAUCUAGAUCCACCACACCAUCACACCACCUACAUCCAAAUCCACCACACCAUCACACCGCAUCCAUCUAGAUCCGUCGCACCACACCACCAUCUCCAUCCAAAUCGCCACACAACACCUCCGCCUCCAUCUAGAUCUACCACAACCACUGCCACCUCGCAUCAUCAACCGACGAUAAAGGCGUUGGAUCGAAGUUUAAACAAAUCUUCAAAGCGUAUCUCGUUUUCUUCUAUCCGAUAAAACGUCAGAUCUAUGAUUUAUACGGUGAAGAACGUUUGAAAUUCGGAGUUUAUGAUGAAUCUUUGUUGUGAGAUUUAGGUUUGAUCCGAACAAAUCUGAUGCGAGUUUUUGAUGAAUCUGGUGCAGAAUAAUGAAUCAAGUGCAGAAUAAGUAUUCUUCUAAUUUGAGGAUGAAUAUUGGAGGUGCAAAAUAAGAAUAAAAAGAAUAAGUUUUGUUCUAAUUUGAGGACGAAUAUUGGAGGUGCAGAAUAAGAAUAAAAAGGUUUGUUCUAAUUUGAAUCUUAUGCAGAAUAAGUUUUGUUCUAAUUUGAGGUGCCAAAUAUGAAGGUUUGAAAUUGGGAUUUUAUAAUGAAUCAGGUGCAUAAUAAGUUGAACUAGUUUUUAUUA